GUUCUACUCCCUCCGUUGCACAAUACAUGCCUUCUAUUUGUCAAAAUAUAUAUGUAUCUAGACAUGUUUUAGUAUAUAGGUACAUCCAUUUUUGGACAAAUGGAAGUCAAGUAUUUUGGAAAGGAGGGAGUACACA
rnacentral:pre_miRNA from 1 species